GGGGUUGUGGCUCAAUGGUAGAGCUCUUGCCUAGCCCGUGUGAGGCACUGGGUUCAUUUCUCAGCACCACCG
rnacentral:tRNA from 1 species